GGGGGUCUAGCUCAGAUGGUAGAGCGCUCGCUUAGCAUGCGAGAGGUACUGGGAUCGAUACCCAGGUCCUCCA
rnacentral:tRNA from 1 species